rnacentral:rRNA from 1 species
AAGGCGACGAUCCGUAACUGGUCUGAGAGGAUGACCAGCCACACUGGAACUGAGACACGGUCCAGACUCCUACGGGAGGCAGCAGUGGGGAAUAUUGCACAAUGGGCGCAAGCCUGAUGCAGCCAUGCCGCGUGUAUGAAGAAGGCCUUCGGGUUGUAAAGUACUUUCAGCGGGGAGGAAGGUGUUGUGGCUAAUAUCUGCAGCAAUUGACGUUACUCGCAGAAGAAGCACCGGCUAACUCCGUGCCAGCAGCCGCGGUAAUACGGAGGGUGCAAGCGUUAAUCGGAAUUA